rnacentral:tRNA from 2 species
GCUGGAAAAGUUGUUUCUGGGGAAGAAUUGGUUGUUAAAGCCAUUCAAAAUCAAAACGUUCAGCUUGUUUUUCUAGCA